rnacentral:rRNA from 1 species
AACGAACGCUGGCGGCAGGCCUAACACAUGCAAGUCGAGCGAGGACUUCGGUCCUAGCGGCGGACGGGUGAGUAACGCGUGGGAACGUGCCCUUUGCUUCGGAAUAGCCCGGGGAAACUGGGAGUAAUACCGGAUGAGCCCUUUGGGGGAAAGAUUUAUCGGCGAAGGAUCGGCCCGCGUUGGAUUAGGUAGUUGGUGGGGUAAUGGCCUACCAAGCCGACGAUCCAUAGCUGGUCUGAGAGGAUGAUCAGCCACACUGGGACUGAGACACGGCCCAGACUCCUACGGGAGGCAGCAGUGGGGAAUCUUAGACAAUGGGGGAAACCCUGAUCUAGCCAUGCCGCGUGAGCGAUGAAGGCCUUAGGGUUGUAAAGCUCUUUCAGCUGGGAAGAUAAUGACGGUACCAGCAGAAGAAGCCCCGGCUAACUCCGUG